GGGGUUGUAGCUUAGUGAUAGAGCACAUGCUUAGCAUGUGUGAGGCCUUGGGUUCAUUCCCCAGUAUCUCA
rnacentral:tRNA from 1 species